rnacentral:rRNA from 1 species
GGUUAAGCGACUAAGCGUACACGGUGGAUGCCCUGGCAGUCAGAGGCGAUGAAGGACGUGCUAAUCUGCGAAAAGCGUCGGUAAGGUGAUAUGAACCGUUAUAACCGGCGAUGUCCGAAUGGGGAAACCCAGUGCAAUUCGUUGCACUAUCGUUAACUGAAUACAUAGGUUAACGAGGCGAACCGGGGGAACUGAAACAUCUAAGUACCCCGAGGAAAAGAAAUCAACCGAGAUUCCCCCAGUAGCGGCGAGCGAACGGGGAGCAGCCCAGAGUCUGAAUCAGCUUGUGUGUUAGUGGAACGGUCUGGAAAGUCCGACGGUACAGGGUGAUAGUCCCGUACACCAAAAUGCACAGGCUGUGAACUCGAAGAGUAGGGCGGGACACGUGGUAUCCUGUCUGAAUAUGGGGGGACCAUCCUCCAAGGCUAAAUACUCCUGACUGACCGAUAGUGAACCAGUACCGUGAGGGAAAGGCGAAAAGAACCCCGGCGAGGGGAGUGAAAAAGAACCUGAAACCGUGUACGUACAAGCAGUGGGAGCACCUUCGGGUGUGACUGCGUACCUUUUGUAUAAUGGGUCAGCGACUUAUAUUCUGUAGCAAGGUUAACCGUAUAGGGGAGCCGCAGGGAAACCGAGUCUUAACUGGGCGUUAAGUUGCAGGGUAUAGACCCGAAACCCGGUGAUCUAGCCAUGGGCAGGUUGAAGGUUGGGUAACACUAACUGGAGGACCGAACCGACUAAUGUUGAAAAAUUAGCGGAUGACUUGUGGCUGGGGGUGAAAGGCCAAUCAAACCGGGAGAUAGCUGGUUCUCCCCGAAAGCUAUUUAGGUAGCGCCUCGUGAAUUCAUCUUCGGGGGUAGAGCACUGUUUCGGCUAGGGGGUCAUCCCGACUUACCAACCCGAUGCAAACUACGAAUACCGAAGAAUGUUAUCACGGGAGACACACGGCGGGUGCUAACGUCCGUCGUGAAGAGGGAAACAACCCAGACCGCCAGCUAAGGUCCCAAAGUCAUGGUUAAGUGGGAAACGAUGUGGGAAGGCACAGACAGCCAGGAUGUUGGCUUAGAAGCAGCCAUCAUUUAAAGAAAGCGUAAUAGCUCACUGGUCGAGUCGGCCUGCGCGGAAGAUGUAACGGGGCUAAACCAUGCACCGAAGCUGCGGCAGCGACACUAUGUGUUGUUGGGUAGGGGAGCGUUCUGUAAGCCUGCGAAGGUGUGCUGUGAGGCAUGCUGGAGGUAUCAGAAGUGCGAAUGCUGACAUAAGUAACGAUAAAGCGGGUGAAAAGCCCGCUCGCCGGAAGACCAAGGGUUCCUGUCCAACGUUAAUCGGGGCAGGGUGAGUCGACCCCUAAGGCGAGGCCGAAAGGCGUAGUCGAUGGGAAACAGGUUAAUAUUCCUGUACUUGGUGUUACUGCGAAGGGGGGACGGAGAAGGCUAUGUUAGCCGGGCGACGGUUGUCCCGGUUUAAGCAUGUAGGCUGGUUGUCCAGGCAAAUCCGGAUAAUCAAGGCUGAGGUGUGAUGACGAGGCACUACGGUGCUGAAGUAACAAAUGCCCUGCUUCCAGGAAAAGCCUCUAAGCAUCAGGUAACAUCAAAUCGUACCCCAAACCGACACAGGUGGUCAGGUAGAGAAUACCAAGGCGCUUGAGAGAACUCGGGUGAAGGAACUAGGCAAAAUGGUGCCGUAACUUCGGGAGAAGGCACGCUGGUGUGUAGGUGAAGCCCCUGCGGGUGGAGCUGAGACCAGUCGAAGAUACCAGCUGGCUGCAACUGUUUAUUAAAAACACAGCACUGUGCAAACACGAAAGUGGACGUAUACGGUGUGACGCCUGCCCGGUGCCGGAAGGUUAAUUGAUGGGGUUAUCCGUAAGGAGAAGCUCUUGAUCGAAGCCCCGGUAAACGGCGGCCGUAACUAUAACGGUCCUAAGGUAGCGAAAUUCCUUGUCGGGUAAGUUCCGACCUGCACGAAUGGCGUAAUGAUGGCCAGGCUGUCUCCACCCGAGACUCAGUGAAAUUGAACUCGCUGUGAAGAUGCAGUGUACCCGCGGCAAGACGGAAAGACCCCGUGAACCUUUACUAUAGCUUGACACUGAACAUUGAGCCUUGAUGUGUAGGAUAGGUGGGAGGCUUUGAAGCGUGGACGCCAGUCUGCGUGGAGCCAACCUUGAAAUACCACCCUUUAAUGUUUGAUGUUCUAACGUUGGCCCCUUACCGGGGUUGCGGACAGUGUCUGGUGGGUAGUUUGACUGGGGCGGUCUCCUCCCAAAGCGUAACGGAGGAGCACGAAGGUUAGCUAAUCCUGGUCGGACAUCAGGAGGUUAGUGCAAUGGCAUAAGCUAGCUUGACUGCGAGCGUGACGGCGCGAGCAGGUGCGAAAGCAGGUCAUAGUGAUCCGGUGGUUCUGAAUGGAAGGGCCAUCGCUCAACGGAUAAAAGGUACUCCGGGGAUAACAGGCUGAUACCGCCCAAGAGUUCAUAUCGACGGCGGUGUUUGGCACCUCGAUGUCGGCUCAUCACAUCCUGGGGCUGAAGUAGGUCCCAAGGGUAUGGCUGUUCGCCAUUUAAAGUGGUACGCGAGCUGGGUUUAGAACGUCGUGAGACAGUUCGGUCCCUAUCUGCCGUGGGCGCUGGAGAAUUGAGGGGGGCUGCUCCUAGUACGAGAGGACCGGAGUGGACGCAUCACUGGUGUUCGGGUUGUCAUGCCAAUGGCACUGCCCGGUAGCUAAAUGCGGAAGAGAUAAGUGCUGAAAGCAUCUAAGCACGAAACUUACCCCGAGAUGAGUUCUCCCUGAGACUUUAAGUCUCCUGAAGGAACGUUGAAGACGACGACGUUGAUAGGCCGGGUGUGUAAGCGCAGCGAUGCGUUGAGCUAACCGGUACUAAUGAACCGUGAGGCUUAACCUU